rnacentral:lncRNA from 1 species
UUGAUGUGAUUUAAAUGGGGUGGUUGGUGGCUCACGGGAAUGAAACCGAGAGAGAGUCACAGAGAGGGGUUCUCAGGCGUGGAGGAAAAGAAGGAAAGAAAAGGAGAAGAAGAAGAAGAAGAAAGGAGAAGAGGAAGGAGAUUCGAGGAGGAGGGGGAUCCCGGUUGCACUUCCAGCUGAAGGGAAAAACGUAGAUCUCCUUCCCCUCUACGCAAGGACCUCGAUUUCCAAAAAG